rnacentral:lncRNA from 1 species
AGGCUAGAUUUUAGAGCAAGGAGAGCAGAUUGAUCAGUUUUGUGAGUUGGGUAUUGUCAUAGAUAAGCAACCUACUACAAGGGUGUGGCUGCAUCAACAACUUUGUACAGAAAGAAAACAAGGUUCUGAUCUCCAUGAGUGUGGAGUGAGACAUUAAUUAAGGAUGAGGCGGUGUGAUUACUCAGAGUUGGGCUAGCUUGUUGUAUAAAUAAAAUAGGUAAUGCUAUGGGUACACAAGACCAUAGGACACCCCAAAUACACACACAGUUGAUGGGUGUUAUUAUUUGGAUGGCUGAGUGUGGAGUUCACCCAGUCUUCACCCCACACCUAGCCAAUCUAAAUGCAAUAACUCAUCAGAUGUGCAUUUAAGGUACACUAUGGUUGUACCCAUAACAUUUCCCAAUAGAAAUACCUAUUAAGGAUGGUACCAAAUAAAUAUUGAGUAAAAAGAUUAAUUUGGCAGUGAGUUAAAAUCUCUUAUCCAAAUAACCCAAUAAUAAUAUUACGAAUAUUACAUAAUGAGAUUUCUUAUUGAGGAACAGUACACACUUAAAAAAAUUAUGUAUAUAAUGCACUUAUGUAUAAUACUACCACAAUUAAUCGUAACAAUCAAGACAAAAAAUCACAAUUUUUUACCUCAAAAGGUCGUGACAUACUAUUUUUAAUUAUUUUUAAUAUACACAACCUCCUACAUUCACAACAACCAAUUAUGAUUUUUUUAUAGUAUACACGAUUAUAUUACUAGGAGAUAUGAACAUUCAGUACAAUAAUUUGAUACACAAAAACACAGACCCUCUAGUAAAAAAAAUUACCAAUUUUUGCACUCAAAACUACGCAGCUUGUUUCAAGUAUAAGCACCAAUUUUAUGUACCAAUACCUACCUAAACCCGCUGAUACCAACACCUAAUUAUAUCACAAUUAUAAGAGUCAAAGAUGUUUUCAUGGCUAUGUUGUUUCACCGGGACUAGGUCUGGACUGAAACAACAGUUCCCAGCCCGUGUUGUUUAUAAAAUUGACUCCGGACAAAUAGUCCGACCGACUAUAGGGUCCCCCUCAUGGGACUAUCCUAUCCCGGGGGGAAGGGGGACGAGGGGGCCCGGACGAAUGCCGAAAGCGGACGAAGAGAGAAAAGGACGGAGGGCCCACAGGGAAGAAGGGCGCGCGGGCGCCCGGGAGCGAGCGCCCCGCGCGCGGGCAGGGGGGGGGGAGGAGGGGGGGAAGAGAACGGGGGGGGAGAAGGAAGGGGUUAAUCAGUUUCUUUGGAUAUAAAUAGUUUUUUUUGAAAAUUACGUUUCUAAAAAAUAUUUUUUAAAAAAAAUAUUUAGCGAAAAAAAUAUUAAACAAAAAUUUUGAAAUAUAUAUUUUAUUGAGAACAAUUUUUAGAAAAGAUAACAAUUUUUUUUAUAAAAAUUAGUUAUGUUUUUAAAACUUAAUAGUUUUUUUCAAAAAUAAUCAAUUUUUAAUUAUUUUCAAAAAUUACAUAAAAAAAUUUAUAUUUUCAGUCUAUUAUCUCGUUAAGCGAAUCAAAAAAUUUAAAAUUUUAAUGAAAAUAGGUAAAAAAUAUCACUAAGAUUAAAACUUGAUUAUAAGAUUAGUGUAAAAAAGAUAACUAAAUAUAUAAAGAAAAAAACGAAUGAGAGUUUUUGAUAAAUGGUGUUCAAUAAAAGAUAGAGGUCAAAAUUUGUUGAUAUAUUUUUUAUUAAUAGGGUUAAAAAAAAUAUUUUUUUGGAAAAAACGGUUAAUUUUUUAAAAAAGAAAACUUGUUAUCCAAAAAUAAAUAAACUGAAAUGUGAAGGGGAUUAUGUUGGGUCAUUUCCUUCAUUUGUCUAGUCCGAUUGCCUUAGCAAACGCAUAUGGGACAAGACUGGACUACUACUUAUCCAGAGUUUGUCCGGGAUAAGUAAAAACAAACGGCGACACGAUAUAUCCAGGGACAAGUCGUCCGACAUUAUAUCCGGGGGCCAAAUGUCCAGAGACGAUUAAUUCGGAGACUCCUACAGUCCGGCAAACAAACGAGGCCAUGUAUACUUUAUGGGGUCUAACUUUCCGUCUUACAUUAAAGAAGCUUUCUACUUGAUAAUUUUCUAAGAGUGAAUUACACUGACCUUUCUUGAGAUUUGCCUUUAAUAUACAUAGCAUCCCUGAUGUUUAACAAAAUUACAGUGACCUCUCCUGAGGUUUGAAAUAUUAUCCUGACACUCCCUGACACCACUUUUCUCCCUUUUUAUCCUUAUAAAAUUACCAAAAUUUGCCCCCCACUCUCUCUCUAUCUUUUUGCAACCUUUUAUUUUCUUGUCUUAAUUUUUUAUUAUAAAUUUUUUAAUACCCUUUGAUUCAUAUUUUUUAACAAAAAUAAAUUCUCUUUUUGUUUCUGUUUUUAUUUUUUCUUUUGGGACCAUUUUAUUUUUAUUUUUAUUUUAUAUUUUUUUAUUAUUAUUAUUUUAUACCCUUUGAUUAAUUUUUUUACAAAAAAAAAUUCUUUUUUGUUAUUGUUUAUAUUUUUUUGUACUCUUGCAUUUUUGCUUUAUUUUUUUUUAUUUUUUCUUUAAUACCCUUUAAUAGUUUUUUUAACAAAAUAUGAAGCACCUUUUUGUUACUUUUUUUUGUACACUUAAUUUUUUAUUUAUUAGUAUAUUUUUUUAAUACCCUGUUUAUUUAUUUUUUAUUUUUAUUUUUAUUUUUUCGUUUAAUAACCUUUUAUUUUUUAUUUUUAUUUUUUUUAUUAUUUUAUUUAUCCUUAUUUUUUUAAUACCAUUUGAUUUUUUUUCUCCUUUUAAUUUUGUCUUUGAUUUAUUUUUUAAAAUUUUUAAAAAUAAGUCUCAAAAUGGAUUAAAAAAAAAUCAAAGAGUAGUAAACAAAAAAUAAAAAUAAAAAAUAAAAAAAUGGAAUCAAGGGUAUUAAAUAAUAAUAAUAAAAAAGGUACAAAAAGAAUAAAAAAAAAAAGAAAAAGUAAUAAAAAGUUGAGUAUUUUUUAUUAAAAAAUAAUCCAAAGGGAUUAAAGAAAAAAAUGAUAAAUAAAAGUAAAAAUAAAAAAAAAAGAAGAGUUAAAAAAUAAUCAGAAGAAGAGAAUCACUUUUUGUUAAAAAAAUUCAGCAAAUGGUAUUAAAAAUAAUAAUAAUAAUAUUAUAAAUCACAAAUAAAAUAAAAGGGUACAAAAGAAAAAAUAAAAAUUAAGUAACCAAUUUUAUUUAAAGGAAUUUAUUUUUUGGAUCAUUUAUAAAUAUGAAUCAAAGGUAUUAAAAAAAUUAUAAUAAAACCAGUAAAAAUAAAAGGUUGCCCCCCGGAUGCUAAAAAGAGAGAGAUGACCCCCCCCCCCCCCCCUUUCUUUCUUCUUUUUUUUGUUUUUUUUUUUUUUUUUCCCCUCCCCCCCCCCCCUCCCCUGAUUCGUCUCUCUUUGGCGGUCCUUUUUUUUGAGCCGGACGAUUGAGGACGAGAGGUGUCCGCCUGUGGAGGAUGCAGGAGGAGAGGGGGGUAUUUGAUAAUGUUAUUAAAGAUAAAAAGACCCCCUCAAUUUCCAAGAAAAGUGGAUUCCCCUCCGCCCCUUUCUUUUUUUAGCUGUGGGCUGUGAGGAUAAUUUUUAAACCUCAGAAGAGGUAUUGUAAUAUUUCAAACAUCACGGAUACUUUAUGUAUUAAAGACAAACUUCAGAGGAGGUCAAUGUAAUUCACCCAUUUUCUAAAGAUGGGACCCCAAGUUGACAGUUGUCCCCUUUCUCUCCUUUCCAAAAGGAAAUUUAUCCUCCCAACCUCCCUGACACACACAAUCCAAGAUUUGACUAAUAUUUUUUUUUUAUUUUUCACUUUUGCCCCCAAUUAUUCUUUAAAACUACCAUUUUGCCAUUCAAAUAUUGAUUCUUCUCACCCUUUAUUACCCCUUUUUAUUCUUUUUUAUUUUUAUUUUGUACUUUCUUUAACCACUUUUAUUGUUUUAUCUUUACUUUUUAUUUUUUUUUUCUUUCUUUUAAUACCCUUUUAUUCUUUGUCUCCCAAAAUUUUCAAAUAAAAAUAAAUAAAAGAUUACAAAUAUAUAAUAAAAAAAAAUAUUUAUCCAAAAAAAAAAAGUAAAACUGAUAAAAAAAGAAAUAAAUUUGAUAAAAAAUUAAAAAAAUAAGAAAAAAUAAUGAAAACAAAACAAAACAAAACAACUGAAAAAAAAUUAAUAGUAAAAAAAGAAACAAAAUAAAAAAAUUUGAAAAAAAAUACAAACAUAGAAAAUAAAUAAAUUUAAAAGAAAACUAGAGAGAGAGAGAGGGGGGGCAUUUUGGGACUUUCCGAAGGAGACACGGGUUGGGGUGGUGUAGGGGUUAGGUGGGAGGAUCACCUCCCUUCCAAAAGCUCCAAAUACAAAUUAUUUUCCUUUGUCAGGAAGAAUUAUAAAAAGACUUGGUGUUUACUAUUCACAGUCCUCCAUUUUUAUGCUCAUUGAAGACUCCUCUCUCAAGGUAGCGUAAUAAUUGGAUGAAGUCUGAACAAAAGGACUUUUUUUUUUCUUUUUUAAAUCCAAGUGCUAGCAUAGAAAAUUAUUGCCCGUAGCAAGUUAGUCUCUAUGCGAGUAUAUAUGAUCAUAUGUUCAAACAUAUAGAGCCUCCGAGUACAGUCGUACCCUCCCCUGAAUGAUUCUCUCUAUUGAGUAACUUCUCUGCUUUUCCUCUCCUCCUCGCAGGGACUCAUCUCAAAUGUACUGUUUGGAGGAGCUUGGGUGAGACCUUCUGGCACAACCUGACCUGCCUGAACAGCUGCAGGGAGCCCUCCAUGAUUAUCUUUAGGGGCUCGUUUGGCUGGCGAAUAGAGAUUGAGAAUCAGUUUUUAGAGGAGGAUAAUUUUUAACUUGUUCAAUAAUUUUUAGAAUGAGUGACAAGGAUGGGGGAAGGAAUUGGAUGGGAUAAGGAAGAAAAUUAUAGAAAGAGAAACAAAGUAUAAAAUAUUAAGAUAUUUAAAAAUAUAUAUUUUAAUUAGUAAUUUAGAGGGAAAAUCUAAAAAAAGUGUAAAAAUUAAACUUGAAAUUAAAGACAACAAACUAAAGCUUUCGAAGUCAAUAUUGGCUCCAUGCCGGAAAUGUAUUCUCUAAAUCGACUUUGGUUUCAUGUCAGCCAUGUUAGGGGUACGUGUGGGUUAUUACUGAUAACUUUUGAGUUUAAUUUUUUUGGGUCAUGUGAUUAGAUUAUUUAAAUUAUUAGGUCAAAAAACUACUUAGGUCGUUAUUAAUGAUCACUUAUUAGCAGUAACUUUACUUUAAUUUUUUUUAAAAAUUAUAUCAAAGUAUUUGCUAUAGCUUUUAUUUAUAAAUCAAAAAUAAUUAUAAAAAAAAUAUUUUUAACAAGCUCUAUUUUAGACUUCGUUUGGAAUCAAUAUUUUUUUGCUUUUCAGCUGGCUUUUUUUAAGUUUAUAAGCAAGAAAAUCAGUCAGAAUUGAUUUUUUGGCGUUUUUGUUUUUGUUUUUUUGCUUUUUUUUAGUUAAAGUAAAUCAGAAAAGCAAAAAAGUCAAAAUAUAGUGACUUUUUUUGGUAGAAAACUUAAAAAGAAUUUGACUUUUAAAAAUUACAAAGAAGCAUUAAUGUUUCAACUUUAUUUUAAAAAUAAUAAAAUUUAAGUUUUCAUCAUCGGUUUCAACAAAUACUUUUCCGUUUACCUAUAAAAUAGAGCUUUCUUGUAACCACUAAAGGACACCUAAGGUUCUAAGUCAAUAGUCCAAUUCCAACCCAUUAUUUGCUGGCUCUUGGUAAUCAGCGAAUCCCAAUCAAGGUCAUUCCACAUCCUACGACGCCCAAGUUGUUCAUCACAGUCGCGAUAUCUCCUUUUGGAUCAUGGUUGCGGCGCAUGGAUGACAUGAUUUUUCAUGUUCUCCCAUAUAAUUUGUAUUAUACACCAUUGCAAACUACUUAAAUUAAUUGGAAUUUUGUAAGGAGCCAAAUUCAUUUGGACCAGACAUUGGGCCGAGCAUUCUAUUUGGGCCUAAGCCCAAAGUUGGGCCAGGACCUGUGCAAAUAGAGAUGUACUCACCCGACAGGACCUGGACCGGAUGAUUGAUCUGUUUAAAUCAUGUAUUUUGAUAUGAGAAGACUUUAAUACAAAAUCGGGCCGAGGUAGAUUGAUAGAGGACCAAACUUGACACGUGGCGAGAAGCUUAAUCGAUGCCUGCAUAAGAAAUGCGGAGAAAUAACUAGAUGAAUGUUUCAUAAAUGAAAGAGUUGAAGUUUUAUAUGAGUUUCCACCCCAACUAAAUUGAAAAAAUGCCUAUAAACUUGCAUGGGAUAAAGAAAGAGAAAUAUGGAUUUGUGGUGAAAGGUGUGACGAACCAGAUUAGAUGAUUUAACAGUCAAAGUGACCUCAAUUCUAAAUAGGUAUUCGAAGAGUUUGAGUAUACAUUUUAACCUACUUGAAAAACUCUAUCACUUUGAGCUCUCAAUCACGUUAACCUCCCUUCUUCAUAUCACUAAUUUAGGCAUGUCAUUCAGAAACCUGGUUUCGCCCUCCUAAUUUCUACCUGAGCCGUCCAUUAUCGAAAAAUUGAGAGUCAAGCUUCUUUCUUCUGGAUGUUUUUCUGGGUUAAAUGAAUAGUGAACACCUAUAGCGACAAGUAGGGGGCCUAUGGAAAUCUCUCUCUUCCUCCAUCUUGAGAAACACUACAUCCUUGCAAUUUAAAAAAAUAAAAUAAAUAUAAAAAUAAAUUAUUAAAUUCACUUAAAUGUUAUUUUAAAUUUUAUGAUUUUUUUUAAUCAAAAUUCUGACACACCGUAACUGAAAGUCCUAAAAAGAUUUAACCAUUGAUUUGGUAGUCAAGAAAAUCUAAUGGUUGACUACGAAAUGAACGGUUGGGAUGAUUUAGAAGAGGAGACUCUCUCUCUCUCCAGAUACAGAGUCAUGAGCCUCCGUUUGGUAAUGCUUAAAAGCCAAACUUUUUUUUAAACUUACUAUUAAAAAAGUCAAGAUUUUUAUGUUUUUUUAUUUUUCUUGACUUUACUUUAGAUAAAAAUAAAUAAAUAAGCAAAAACAGAAAAAUAAAAAAGCUAACUCUGAUUGGAUUUUUUUCUUAUUUUAAGCAAAAAAACCUAGCCGACAAGCUCAAAUAAAUUGGUUUCAAAAUGUGCCUCAAUGAGACCAAUCGAACUUCUCUCUCGCACAGGCCCUCGAACCCUCUCCAUCUGGUAUUUUUUUUUUCAAAAUUAAUUUAAAAUAAUUUUCGUUAAAUUACUUUGAUUAAUUUUGUUGAUGUUCUGUUGGUGUUCUGUGUGCGUAUGAAAGUUUGGAAUUUUGGAAAUGUUUGGCAAAUGCUAAGGGUUUCGGCUCCAGCAAACUGGAGAUCAUCUUAGUGUUUUAAGCUUAAUAUUAUAGAAGGGCUUCUGAAAUUAGCAUUUUAGAAGGAUUAUUGGGUUCGGCAAAAAUUAAAUAGUUUGUUUUUUAGCCAAACGUGGUUAUCGAAGUGGCAUUUUGAUUUACAUUUUAGUGACAGUUGUAGAAAUAAACAUACAUUUUUCAAAUUAUAAAUUGGAUGAUUUUGUUGAUGUUCUUGUUGUGUUGUGUGUGUAUGAGUUUGGGGAGUUUGAUUUUGCAUUCCCGUGAAAUUUAAAUGAUGAUUUUGUUGAUUUUCUUGUUGGUUAUGUGUUAGUAUGAAGUUUAGGGAGUUUAUUUUUGCAUACCUGUGAAUUACACAUAUAUUUUAUAAAUUAGAAAUUGAUGAUUUUGUUGAUGUUUUUCGAUGUGUUUAUGUUUAAUAUGUGUUUGUUUUGUCAUACUUGAAUUUUGGGGUUUUCGCUCCACACCACUAGAGAUGCUCGUAGGGUUUAGAUGAAAUAAAGUUAGGAGGGUUAGGUAGGGUUUUCAAAGAUUAGAUAGAUAAGAGUUUAGCUAAACUUGUUUAUCUAAGUGGCACCUUACUUAGGCAUUUUAGUGUUAGUUUUCUUUAAGUUCAGAGGAGGAUUGGCUUUAUCUUUUGUUCCUAAAUGUCCAUAAAAUUAGUUUUGAGGGUAUACAAAAUUCUGUAAGGGCAACCUCAAUUGGGUCUCAUGAAAUGUACGGGACUGUCACAUCUUUUGUCUUAGUUACCAAGUACAUUGCACUUUGAUUCGAGAGAUCUGAAUUGAGAACUGGUCUGUUUUGUGGGUUUUCUUUGUUUAUUGUGCUGGGGUGACUUCUUGGGCUAGAUUUCUUUCAUUCUCUUGGUGUCCUUUUGGUUGGUUUUUUGUUUUGUUUGUCUUGGGUAUGCCUCAGUUUUGUUUGUUUGCCUUUUGGCUCUUCUUGGAAGAAAACUUUUUACUCCAAAAAAUUUAUAUGUAAACAAUUUUACAAUUGCCAUUUUUUUUUUAUUUCUAGUUAACAUGUGAAUUGUUUGCAAACCAGUGGUCAAAUGCAUUAUUUAUUGUAAUUAGGCGUAACAUUUCUUGGGCACGAGGCUCAAGUUGCACAAUUUGCAUCCAAGGCAUGUCAAGUCUCAUUUUGUGGCGAAGCAUGGAACCACAUACAACAAGCAUUGUUGAGCAGAACAAGCAGUACAUCAGGCCACCACUGCGGAGGAAUGUAAUCUGUUGGCUAGGCAUUGUUUCUGCUCCACUCGUCUCACUUGGUUAUUUCUCCUCCCUUUUGUUUAAUGUGGCACGUGGGCUUUUUAGUGUUGGACUUAGUUUUCAAACCGUUUGGUUAUACUUGUUAAUUAGACAAGUUUGUACGUUUUCUAAAAGCCUAUGAUAUGAAAUUUUUGUCGAAGACAAGUUAUGGUGCCUUGUUUUUCUAUGCUAAUAUUUUUUGAUAUGAUAUUCGUGGGUGCCUAAGUAUAUUGAAUAGGUUUGUUACACAAUCGUUGGUUAUGCCUUUGCUUUUAAUUAUUAACGAUAAUAUCUAAAUCAUAGCUUCUGAUAAAUAAUGUUGGGUUACAUUUUUCAAAAUUGUUUUUUUCAUUAGAGCAUGCCUAUGUGAUACUUUAUUAUCCAUUGUAAGUCCCUUAUAUCCUUGUAGGUAACUUUGUUAUUUUUUAUAAAUAGGGUAAUCUAGUUCCCUAAUUAAUCACUUGGAGGGAUUUAAUGUCGAGUGGUACAUAAGAAGAAUUUGCAAUAAGAUUAGAACUGAUUAUAUGAACUAGUUUUUGUUAAUUUAUGAACCUUGCCAUAUCAUUUAUUCUUGACAAUUAAUCCAGCAUUGAGUAGAUCAUUCUCUAUAUUGCCAUUAACUUCUAGAAAUAACAACACCUACAAGAGUUUUUGAAUUGAUUAUCGAAGUUUUGGCCAAAAAAUAUAGGCAUUGGUCUCCUAACACUCCCAAUUUUCGUCUUCGUUUUGAAGUUCUCUUGAAAUACACAGGAAAGAAGGAAAAAAGUUACACUGCAGUUUCAAAUCACGAGUUGUACAUACCGAAAUUUUACAGAUAUCUAAUUAAAGUAUAUUCGAUAAUAUACAAAAGACACAUAAUACCAAAUAUGUAAAAUAUAUGUUUAUUCAUGUGAAAUUAAUGUAUGUUAGGUUUCUUUGUAUGAGUAAAUGUUUUUUUGAGAUUUUAUGAAAUAUGAAUUUUUGUACCCAAAAAGAUUUUGUAAAAAAAAUAAUAGAAAAAAUAAAACCAGAAACCUCUGGACCGUAUUAAGCAUAUAUGAUUGACUCAUGUGGAUCAAUAGGGACCACACCACACGCCAUUAAUAAUUUUGAGUGACCCAUGCCACAAGUACACAAGCCCAUGUCAUAAGAAUCAGUGUACAAUCAAAAACUUUAUGAUAUUUUAAAUUUCCUCAAGUAAAAUAUACAUGGUAUCUGUGAAAAUAAAAUAUGUUAUAUUUCAACUUAAUAUGAUUCUCUGAGAAUUUUUACGAAAAAGGAUUUUCUGUUAAAGAGUAGUAAGAAAAAAAUGAACCCAAUUUCAAGUAUAUAUGAAUAAAUUAUGUGGGACAAGAGGACCAAAAUAUAAGUGUGACUCACCCAUGUGUCACUCAUGUGAUCAAAUCAACCGAUACCACCAAAAGUCAACAAAAUUCUAAAAGUUGGCCAAAAUCUCACCACCCACCUAUCCAUCCCCCACCCACUCUACCCUCACCCCAUCAUGUCCGCCGCCUUUUCCUGGGACUUGACCAUAGUGAGAGAGAGAGAAAGGGGAAAAGAGAGAGAGAUAAAUAAGAAAAGGAGAAAGAAGAAUAGGAGAAAGACAGAGAAAAGGAGAGGAGGGAGUCGCGGAGAAGAAAGAAAGAGAGAAGAGGGAAUAAGAGAGGAAGAAACGAACGGAGAACCAAUCGAAGACACGGAGAAAAAUUUUUCUGACCGAAUCCGAGUUAGUUAUUCAACGAGGUAACCUCACGGAUCUUCUUUUUCUUUUCAUUUUUUCGAUUUAGGAUGAUCUAAAUACCCUACAGUUGAGUGUUAUCUCUAAUCCUAGUCAAAGUUAAAAUACGUUGAAUGUAGGACAAUGAGGAUGCAUUUUUUAAAGAUCAAUAAUCAAUAUGUUUACGCUAUGUUUUAUUUUGAAAAUCAUUCGUAUUUGGCCAUAAACUUUUUUCACAUACGAAAAUAUUUUUAGUCGAGUCAAGUGUUCAUUGGAUAGAUAUGUUCAAAUACCCUACAAAAUUGCUUCUAAUAGUAUUAUCCAAUGAUAAGACGGCCCAACAAACUUCCAAAGUUUCAGAUGAAAAAUUGAUCCUCGGUUUUUUUUCCCAGUUGAAACGGUACAAUUUUUUAUUUUUUAUCGGUUCAACCAUUUUAUUUAAGCUACUGAUCAUGACGAACAGGUUCAAAUUUUUAUUCUGUACCGGUUUAACCAUUUUAUUUAAACUACUGAUCAUGACGAACCGGUUUAACUUUUUAUUCUGUACCAGUUUAACCAUUUUAUUUAAGCUACUGAUCAUGACGAACCAAUUCAACUUUUAUCUUUAUCGGUUCAACCAUUUUCAUUUAGCGACUAAUCAUGACGAAUCAGUUCAACUUUUUAUUCUGUAUCGGUUCAAUAUUUUAAUUUAAUCGCCACUGGUCACGCCAAACUAGUUCAACUUUUUAUUCUGUACGGUUCAACUAUUUUUAUUUAAGCCACUGGUCACGCCAAAAUAGUUUCAACUUUUAUCGUACAGGUUCAACUAUUUUAUUUAAGCCACUGGGGGUUAGCCGAACCGGUUCAAACUUUUCUUUCUGUACGGUUCAAUUAUUUUGAUUUUGAAUCGGUUUAACUAAUUUUUUUCUGAACCGUGAGGAUUAACAGAAUCCAUUUCUUUUAAGUUGGAACCCUUGACCUACAAACUUAGCCUAGUUUUCUAACAAUUAACAUAAUAAAAUUUAAACACUUAAAUGUAAAGAGGAGAGGGAGAAUGAGGGAGCGUACGUUCUCGACUGUGUUUGCCGCCCCUUUCACACCACGUGGGGAAUUCGGAUAAAUGAAACGUAUAGGAAUCAUCAAUUAGCCUGAAGGACACGACGAACGAGUGUCGUGCAACACAAACCUAUUAAGUAAGUAACCCUACUCUCUAAGGUAGUGUCAGUAACCCUAAUUUCUAAAAUAGAGUAAAUUACUCUUUUAUGCUAUGAUAUAUGAUUGGACAUUAUGUUACAUAUGCACAAAUCAAAUCCAGGCGUAGAUGAGAAUCUUUCGAAAAUUUUUUUGUAUGUAUAUGCCUAUGUACCAUUAUGUUUCUACUUUCGGAAGGUACUCGGCCGGCAGCCCGACUCAAGGAAGUGGAAAAUCACGUUAUCAAAACCGACAAGAACGGGCGUCAAGUGCAUAAUGUUAUAUUUCAAAAAUUUGUUGACCAUACAAAUUGGUCAUUAUACAUAUGAUACCCGACAAAGGGAGGAGACAUGUUCAAACAUGAAUUUUGAUCAAGUUAUUUCGAAGACAAAUAUUUUCUAGUGUGUACUAUGUUAUUUUAUGUUAUACACAUGUCUACCAUAGUUAAUGUCAUGCUUUUGAUAUGUAUGCAAAACCUAUGAUAGAGAUUAUUGGUUAUACGCUAAGCAUCAUGCUUAGGAACAUUGUUUCUAACAAUCUUUCAGGAAAACAAAGACAAGAAAGUGGAGUAGGCGAGAAAAACCCACGCAUUUGAAGGUUCUUUGGAAUAUGUAAUGUAUGUAAAUAUGUUAUGAAUGUUAAGACAUGUCUGGUCUCUCUACCGUAGGGCACAUAUUUUGAGGGAAUAUAGUUAAUAUUUGAAAUUUUUUUUACUAGGCUCUAAAAAUAUAAAUUACACGUUUGAUUUCGCCCACGAAAAGAAAAAGUUUUAAGAAAAGAAAAGAAUUUUAAAGGGCAUGAAAAUGGUGUGACGCAUCCCGGUGACGCUGGAGUCCGCGGGCGUCGGGCGGGCCGUUACACGCGUGAUACGACUAAUAGAUAAAAUAUUUGCAGCAAAACUAAGGAUAUGUAAAAUAGAGGACAAGAAAAGAGAAUGUGUGGUAUGCACCAAACAUUUACCAGAAAUAGAAAAAAAGUAUCAUUAGCUACUUUAACUUGGUCAAGACCUGUAUAUGGAAUAUAAGAUGAGAAGAUAUUUGAUUGACUAGUAAUAUGAUCAAAUGCACCAGAAUUAAUAAUCUAAGAAAUAGCAGAA